AUGGUGGGGUGGCUCAAGGCGCUGGUGUACGGCGCAGGGGGCAUGGCGGUGGUGGGCCUGGCGGCGCUGGUGGCGCUGCAGGAGCGCCUCGUCUACGUGCCCGUGCUCCCUGGCCUCCCGCGCGCUUACCCCAUCAAGCCCUCGCGCCUCCGCCUCAUCUACGAGGACGUCUGGCUCCGCGCCGCCGACGGCGUGCGCCUCCACUCCUGGUUCCUCCGCCACUCUCCCACCUGCCGAGGUCCGACCAUUCUGUUCUUUCAGGAAAAUGCCGGCAAUAUUGCACAUCGUUUGGAAUGCGUUCGACUAAUGAUGCAGCGGCUACAGUGCAAUGUGUUUAUGCUUUCUUAUAGAGGGUAUGGUGAGAGCGAGGGUUAUCCUUCUCAGAGUGGCAUCACAAAAGAUGCACAGGCCGCACUUGAUCAUCUAGUUCAGAGGAAGGACAUUGACACAUCCAGGAUAGUUAUCUUUGGGAGAUCUUUAGGAGGUGCUGUUGGAGCAGUUCUUGCAAAAAACAAUCCUGACAAGGUGUCUGCUCUAAUAUUGGAAAAUACUUUUACAUCUAUAUUGGAUAUGGCUGGUAUCAUGCUGCCCUUCUUAAGAUGGUUCAUAGGCGGUAGUUCUGCCAAAGGCCCAAAACUUCUUAACUGCGUUGUUCGCUCUCCAUGGAGUACACUUGAUGUUGUUGCAGAGGUCAAACAACCCAUUCUCUUCCUUUCUGGAUUGCAAGAUGAACUGGUUCCCCCGUCACACAUGAGGAUGCUGUAUGACAAAGCUGUUGAACAUAACAGGAAUUGUAGGUUUGUUGAUUUUCCCAGUGGUAUGCAUAUGGAUACCUGGAUUUCUGGAGGGGACCGCUACUGGAGGACAAUCGAAUUGUUUCUGGACCAAUAUACCCCAGAAGUACAGAGUUCUGAUGCCAGCUGCACAAGUGAAAUUGCUGAUGAUGAUAAAGCUGCAUAA
rnacentral:rRNA from 1 species